rnacentral:rRNA from 1 species
UACGAAGGGGGCUAGCGUUGUUCGGAAUUACUGGGCGUAAAGCGCGCGCAGGCGGCUAUCCAAGUCAGUGGUGAAAGCCCGGAGCUUAACUCCGGAACUGCCAUUGAAACUGUUUAGCUUGAGUAUGAGAGAGGUGAGUGGAAUUCCCAGUGUAGAGGUGAAAUUCGUAGAUAUUGGGAAGAACACCGGUGGCGAAGGCGGCUACACGUGCUCAGUUACUGACGCGUCAGGCGCGGACAGGCGUGGGGAAUCAAACAUGG